GGACUACUAGGGUAUCUAAUCCUGUUUGCUCCCCAUGCUUUCGCGCCUCAGCGUCAGUUAUAGCCCAGAGAACCGUCUUCACCACCGGUGUUCUUCCACAUAUCUACGCAUUUCACCGCUACACGUGGAAUUCCGUUCUCCCUAACUACACUCUAGCUAGACAGUUUCAAAUGCAGCUCCGGGGUUGAGCCCCGGAAUUUCACAUCUGACUUGUCCUGCCGCCUACGCGCCCUUUACGCCCAGUAAUUCCGAUCAAUGCUUGCACCCUCCGUAUUACCGCGGCUGCUGGCAC
rnacentral:rRNA from 1 species